GGUCUCUAUAGUUACCCAGACUAAACCUAAAGGUCUCUGUAGUUACCCAGCCUAAACCUACAGGUCUCUAUAGUUACCCAGCCUAAACCUAAAGGUCUCUGUAGUUACCCAGCCUAAACCUACAGGUCUCUAUAGUUACCCAGCCUAAACCUAAAGGUCUCUAUAGUUACCCAGCCUAAAGGUCUCUAUAGUUACCCAGCCUAAACCCAAAGGUCUCUGUAGUUACCCAGCCUAAACCCAAAGGUCUCUGUAGUUACCCAGACUAAACCUAAAGGUCUCUGUAGUUACCCAGCCUAAACCUAAAGGUCUCUAUAGUUACCCAGCCUAAACCUAAAGGUCUCUGUAGUUACCCAGCCUAAACCUAAAGGUCUCUAUAGUUACCCAGCCUAAAGGUCUCUAUAGUUACCUAGCCUAAACCCAAAGGUCUCUAUAGUUACCCAGCCUAAACCUAAAGGUCUCUGUAGUUACCCAGCCUAAAGGUUUCUAUAGUUACCCAGCCUAAACACAAAGGUCUCUAUAGUUACCCAGCCUAAACCCAAAGGUCUCUGUAGUUACCCAGCCUAAAGGUCUCUAUAGUUACCCAGCCUAAACCCAAAGGUCUCUAUAGUUACCCAGCCUAAAGGUCUCUAUAGUUACCCAGCCUAAACCCAAAGGUCUCUAUAGUUACCCAGCCUAAACCCAAAGGUCUCUGUAGUUACCCAGCCUAAAGGUCUCUAUAGUUACCCAGCCUAAAGGUCUCUAUAGUUACCCAGCCUAACGGUCUCUAUAGUUACCCAGCCUAAACCUAAAGAGCAAGCGAAGCAGAAGCACAGACAGGUUCCUCCAGCUAACACCAUCUCUCUGUUCCCUCUAUGGUUGUGCAGGUGGUUGAGCUGUCCGAGAGGGCGACUCUGGACAAGGCCAUGGUAGAGCUAUGGGGUCUGGAGGACUACAUUUGGGGGAGGGGCCUCCGCAGGAACUGAGGAAGUAAUCGGACAACCAGGAACAAUACACACACACACAGAGACACACGCGUUACCGUGACUAGAUAUACACAGUCCUGCGUUACAGUGACUACAUAUACACAGUCCUGCGUUACAGUGACUACAUAUACACAGCCCUGCGUUACAGUGACUACAUAUACACAGCCCUGCGUUACCGUGACUACAUUUACACAGCCCUGCGUUACCGUGACUACAUUUACCGUCUUGAUGUCACAUUUACUGGUUUUACCCUCGUGAGCUGUCGUUGCUUGUAGCCAUAUUCCCUUAGACAUGUUCUGACACGUCCCCUGUUGUUUGUCCAUUUCUUCAUCUACUUUGGAUAACUGUCAACAAUUUGAUUGACUUGGAAUUUUGAACUUGUCCAAUAUUCAGUUGGGGAGAAUAUUUGCGUCCACUGUUGCUGCUAGUACUGCAUGUUAUGUUAUGUUGCUACUAGUACUACAUGUUCUGUUACUACUAGUACUAUAUGUUAUGUUUCUGCUAGUACUAUAUGUUAUGUUUCUGCUAGUACUAUAUGUUAUGUUGCUACUAGUACUACAUGUUCUCUUUCUGCUAGUACUAUAUGUUAUGUUACUGCUAGUACUACAUGUUCUGUUUCUGCUAGUACUACAUGUUCUGUUACUACUAGUACUACAUGUUCUGUUACUGCUAGUACUACAUGUUAUUUGACUGCUAGUACUGCAUGUUC
ensembl:lncRNA